rnacentral:tRNA from 1 species
UGGGGUAUAGCCAAGUCGGUAAGGCAAUGCACUUUGGAUGCAUCAUGCGUAGGUUCAAUUCCUACUACCCCAG